AUUUGAUGAUCUUUGUCCUACAUCACAUCAAGAUUUUGAAAUCGGAUUCUAUGCAAAAUGGGGACACGAAUAGGCGCUGCGUUACUUCCUGAGUUAUUGAGGAAAUUAAAAGAGAUCUUACCCGAAUCAUACAAGGAAUAUUCUCAUGUAAAGAAUACAAUUGAGAAGAGAUGGACUUCUGUUGAUUUUUAUGUUGAUCAAUGGCCAGAUUUUACAGCAUUAGUUAUUCGUCCAGAUCCACAAAAGCAUGAGCUCAAAUUUAGUGAUAAAUACCAUUUUGUCUACGGUACCAAUCCAGAACAACUGAUAAAAAUUAUUACGGCUGAUGGCUUUAUAAACUGGUCAGAAAGGGUUACCUUUGGUGCGGUCCCUAGUCGAUUUUGGCCAGCUAUAGAUGAUCUACUCAUUGAGAAAAAAGGCGAGUUUACCAAGGACCCAGAAUGUAUAGUUUAUACAAUGACUAAAGAAGAUUUGGUUUUGCAUGAUGUACCCGAUGGUAUGGAGUUGAAAUGGAUGAACCCUAAAGAAGCACCAGAACUCUACUGCAGCAAUUCAAAAUACCAACUUCGACCCGGUAUCUUAGAAUAUACCCAGGCUUUAAUAACAAAAUUUCGUUCGUUAGCCCUUAUCACUAAAGCCGGUCAGCAUUUUGUUGGCGUCGCAAGUCAAACGUACUUCGGUACCAUCGGAUUAUUAUUUGUCCACGAGCAGUAUCGCGGAAACGGGUGCGCUAAAGUUAUAUUGUCACAUCUAGCCAAAGCACUGCUUGAUGAUAACCAGGUGUUUGUGUCGUUAGCUGAGGAUGACAACGCACCAGCCAUCCGGAUACAUCGAUCAGUUGGAUUUAAGCCUAUAGCACUGAAAACUAGAUGGUUCAGAUUCAAACCAGGCAAUUCAUCAUAGAUAUUCGACCUACCCUUUUGUAUUUUGCAAUCGAUUGUAUUUUUUAAUUGUUAAUCAGAUGGUUCAACUUCAAACCAAAUGAUUCAUAAAAUAGUUUUAAAAAAACAAACUUACAAAACGUAAUUCAAAUCGAUAUAUUCCAUAUUAUAGGCUGAAUGUACGUACGGUAGUUAUUUUUUAUAUAAUUAUAUUUUUUCUUUAUAUUUUGCAAUAAUAUGAGAUUAAAAAUAUGUUGUUAUUGAUCUGUUUAAUUGAUCAGUUUAAUUGAUCAAUGCAAUUGAUUAUUGUUAUCAAUCCUUUCAAUGAUUGUUAUUGAUUGUGUUUAUGACAUUGAUUACGGGCCAUUUUAUCUCUCUAUUUAUAUAAAUUAAAUGAGAAAAUUUGUUCUUUUUUUGAUUCGAUAUAG